rnacentral:rRNA from 1 species
UACAGAGGUCUCAAGCGUUGUUCGGAUUCAUUGGGCGUAAAGGGUGCGUAGGUGGCGCGGUAAGUCGGGUGUGAAAUUUCGGAGCUUAACUCCGAAACUGCAUUCGAUACUGCCGUGCUUGAGGACUGGAGAGGAGACUGGAAUUUACGGUGUAGCAGUGAAAUGCGUAGAGAUCGUAAGGAAGACCAGUGGCGAAAGGCGGGGUCUCCUGGACAGUUCCUGACACUGAGGCACGAAGGCCAGGGGAGCAAACGGG